UAAGCGGGCGGGCGGGGCUUUUGUGCCCGGCAAGAAUCGUAGACUAAGCAGCGAGAAGCGCCCACCAGGGAAGAGGCAGAAGCGCGAGAUCAUGUGUGAUGUGGAAUCCACAGAUAAGGAGGGCCGAUUGUGCUCUAAGAUGAUUGUUAUAAGGCACACUCACCAACGCUUGAGGCAAUCGAGGUUAUACAGUCACCGUUGCAGAACUGAAAGCGGAGAAAUUCAGAACUGCUGGAUGAGAAAUGAUGAAUAUAAGAAUGAGAUAUUUCUACUAAAUCCACAAUGGAGAAGAUUUAAAGUAAAAUGAAAGCUUCUCUCCCCAUGCCCAGGAUGAAAUGAGCCUAGCUCUUAAAGGCAUUCAGGCCAACCCUGCACUUCC